ensembl:lncRNA
CACUAUCACCUUGCUAGUUUUGUAGCUUUGUAGCAAAACUUCCCACAGCACAAAAUCACAGUUCAUUUAAAUAAUUUCAAUCAAGAUGCUUACUUUAGAUGCUAAAACAUAGCUUCCUUUUAACUAAACAUGAAAAGGUGAAAUUAUGUUAACACGAGCAUUGUCUUUCAUACCACUUGGCUCUUUGAAGUUGUUAGUUAUUGGUUAACGUUGUAGUUUAUUUUGGAAACAACUCCUAACUUUCUAAAAUAGCCACCAGAAGUUUUUUAUGUGCCCCUAUCAUAGGGGCUCUUUGUUAAUAUAUAUAUAUAUGUUAAUGCUGUUUAAUAGAAGAACAGGUGGGCAAUGUAACGUUAGUUACUGUAAUGUUAGCUAGUGUUACUCAAUGCAGAACUAAAUUAGCUAGCUAGCUAAUUAGCUCGCUGGCUAACUAACUUUAUGGAUUGAGUAACAGUAGCUAACAAGCUACAUGCUACAAGGAAGGCAUAGGCUAUUGCUAUCAAAAUAUGUAAAUAAAUGUACAGAUUCGAAGGCUAUAUUCUCAAAAGAAAGAAUCAAACGUAUUAGCGACACAUAUAGUAAAAAUAGUUGUGUGCGUUUACGCUUCUUUGCCGAGAGAAGACCGAUAAGAUUUAGGUCACAACUUCCAUGUUUCAAAACUAGGCUAGAUAUGACGUCACUCGUGAAAGCCCUGGAAGCGGUGGGUAAUAUUUAAUAUUAUAUAUUAAUAUAUUUAACCAGUCUGACUCCGUCCAAAUGUAACGUUAGCUUGAAAACCCCGGCUGACCAGCACCUCUAACGCUCACCAACAAACAUGUUGUAUCUCAUUCCUUCAAUCCGCCAAUGUCGGUAAUGUUCUGUGAAACACAGUUGUGGAUAUUUCCCAAUUAGCUUGAAUAUUUGUGUUGUGUUCCAUAGUUUAUCCUGUCUAACUCUCAGUGAUGCCAACUCAAGGUGACCACCUUCACAUGCUGAGAGAGACAUGAAGCAGCCGCAGGGGGCUGGCUGGAUAAGCGCAAGGUGCCACUAUGCGGGAAUUCAAACACGCAGCCUGUACUUCUUCUUCCCGAGGAAGACAAACGUGUCAGUUGAACAAAUAUGUAUUCUCACACAUUCGGGCGGUGCACAGGGGGUAUUCCUGCACAAGCGCAGCAAAAUGAGAAAAAUACGAUUUUCAAAGCAAUAGACUGAUAAAUAAUUAAAUAGAUUGCUAGAAUAAUGCUUGGUAUUCUCUCAGGGCUGCUCUGUUUUUCCCCACAUAAACACAAAAUGCCCCAGAUCCAUGUAAUCUGACUGGAAGGUAUUGCAUCUCUAAGGUCGUGAUGUGAAGGAGAUAUAUGACCAGAAUAAACACAUUGAAAUAAAGAAUCAGCCCCCUUAGCUAUUUUUUUAAUUUAUUUUUAUUUUUAAAAUAAUUUAUAAUUUAUUUUUUUAUUCUUGAGUGAAUUUUACUGAAAUUCACUCAAGGAUGCUACUCAUGUUUUAUCAUUGAUUGAACUUGCUUGUAAGGCAGUUUGCCCAAUAAAACUUCACAUCAAUGGCACAAACAGCCUAAGUCUUAAACAUCAGAGACAAAUUUUCUUUCCCAAGUAGGAUUACAGCUUUCAGCAUUUGCACUUUCCCUGGACCUUUAGGACUUGUGGAUGCGGCAUCUAUCAGCAAUAUCAUUGUUGCUCAAUUGUGGGUGCUAAAAACAAAAAGACAAAUGGAACAAUUUAGCACGACUUGACUUUCAAAGACUUAAAGAUUCUUUGAAUUAAAUCAACCUAUGCUAUUCAAGAGAAGCCCCCUUGUUUUGGUGUGUGUGCCGCCGCCGUGCCUCAAACGGGUCAAGGUGAACACUCCUCAUCUGUGAUUUUACCCGCUAACUCAUUCCCAAUGGAAAUCAGUCUUGUUCAUUUUUCAAACAGCCUCCAGGAUAUCUGAAUCGCCCCCCCUACCCUCCUCCAAAAAAAAGCCCCUCGGGCGAGCGUUCAACUUUGAUGUUUUGAGACGAGAGACAGUGAAAAGCUGCAGUCUGGAUUCAUGCAUUUUGUAUUGCUUGGAGAGGAAUUACAAGCAACCUACUGGUGUCUCAUUGUUGUUAGCUAUGCAAGCUCAUUCUCAGACUGAGCGCUGCUGAUUCAGAACAAAAUACCGUGACAGUACUAAACAAGGUGGCCAUUACAUUGAGUUUGGGUAUUGAUUCAGAAGUGUCCUGGUGAAAUUGGUGACCUCCUGACCUUGUUUCUCUGGCACCAACGUUUAAACCGAAAAUACCCACUUGUCGUUGUGAUCAUGUAUAGCUGAGGUAUCUCAAAAACAGAGGGUGAAAUGAUUCGGUGGAUAAAUCGUCUGACAUUUUCAGCCUGUAGAAAAGACACAAUGAAUCAUAUUGGCUGGAUUGUCCUGAAUUCAAGCUCCAAUGAAUAUGAACCCUUGACCAGAUUCUUAACUUAGCACAUUUUCAAAAGCAUAUAAAAUGACGACUGUAAAGACUGAAUUCUCACCUUCUUUGUACUUUUGUUUGCUUCUUCUGUGUUCACACUAGAAGGGGGGCAGAGACCCCUGCCUACCAACACAUGCAAAGGAUAGUGACGCGUGCUCGUCUCACAUGGAAGGUAACAGCGCUCUCUUGUGGUCACAUUGCCGUAAUACAUGUAACGAGCCCGGCGGUUCGCACGUGUCAGCAACACAAAUCUGCAGCACAAAUCGCCCGUGUGCGUCUUGCAACGGAGGAAGUCGAGUUUCCGGCGAGUAAAGUGAGAACGGUUGUAUCCGCCAUAUCUGUCUAAACAUCUAAACCUCUCGAUACUGGUCUCACCCGCUCGUAUUCAAAGCUAAACGAGAUCCCGGUGUCAGCGCAGGCGCGGUGGCCAAGUGGUAAGGCGUCGGUCUCGUAAACCGAAGAUCGCGGGUUCGAACCCCGUCCGUGCCUUUUGCACAAGCGCGGACAGAACGAAGCUCCGAUGUUAUGUGACUCGUGCAGAUAUGCGCUGUUGUCUCCCUGCGGAAUUUACACUCACCAACAAAGCCUCAAUUAAAGAGUACCAAUGAAGAUCACCAUCUCACAAUACAUACUUUCUAACGUCAUUUUCUUUCAAUUUCAUAUCAUCUUCAUGUCUCUUGACUUUUGUUCUCUUUACUGGAAUCAGGAAACAUUUAUUGCCAAAAUAUGUUAUACAUACAAGGAAUUUGACUUGGCGGUUGGUGCGUGACAGUAGACAGUGUAACAAUAGACAACAAGACAGCAGUGCACAAGUAAUAAAAUAAAAUGAAAUGCUAAUGCUAUGGGUUAGUAGAAUAAGGCUAGAAUAAUAUGUCAACAGAUUUCAGAUCAUGUUUUUCUCACGUCACAUUGUUAUAACUCCCCUGUAAUCGUACACUCUCAGCUGACAUUCAUCCCACUAGCACAGUUUCCCGGGUAACGCAUGUUGCAGCAUCAAUGAUUUCAUAUCAUGUUCCGGGCUGCAGCAGCGUACUAUCACGUUCCAUCCGUCUCUGUAAAGAGGAACUGGAAGAUGCUGCUGCUGCUUCGGGUGGGGGG